rnacentral:rRNA from 1 species
CAGGCCUAACACAUGCAAGUCGAACGGGCACCUUCGGGUGUCAGUGGCAGACGGGUGAGUAACACGUGGGAACGUACCCUUCGGUUCGGAAUAACUCAGGGAAACUUGAGCUAAUACCGGAUACGCCCUUUUGGGGAAAGGUUUACUGCCGAAGGAUCGGCCCGCGUCUGAUUAGCUUGUUGGUGGGGUAACGGCCUACCAAGGCGACGAUCAGUAGCUGGUCUGAGAGGAUGAUCAGCCACACUGGGACUGAGACACGGCCCAGACUCCUACGGGAGGCAGCAGUGGGGAAUAUUGGACAAUGGGCGCAAGCCUGAUCCAGCCAUGCCGCGUGAGUGAUGAACGCCUUAGGGUUGUAAAGCUCUUUUGUCCGGGACGAUAAUGACGGUACCGGAAGAAUAAGCCCCGGCUAACUUCGUGCCAGCAGCCGCGGUAAU